rnacentral:rRNA from 1 species
AUUGGACGCUGGCGGAAUGCUUUACACAUGCAAGUCGAACGGCAGCACGGGGGCAGCCCUGGUGGCGAGUGGCGAACGGGUGAGUAAUACAUCGGAACGUGCCCGGUCGUGGGGGAUAACGUAGCGAAAGUUACGCUAAUACCGCAUACGAUCUGAGGAUGAAAGCGGGGGACCUUCGGGCCUCGCGCGAUCGGAGCGGCCGAUGUCAGAUUAGGUAGUUGGUGGGGUAAAGGCCUACCAAGCCGACGAUCUGUAGCUGGUCUGAGAGGACGACCAGCCACACUGGGACUGAGACACGGCCCAGACUCCUACGGGAGGCAGCAGUGGGGAAUUUUGGACAAUGGGCGCAAGCCUGAUCCAGCCAUUCCGCGUGCAGGACGAAGGCCUUCGGGUUGUAAACUGCUUUUGUACGGAACGAAAAGGCUCUGGCUAAUACCUGGGGCUCAUGACGGUACCGUAAGAAUAAGCACCGGCUAACUACGUG